AUUGAACGCUGGCGGCAUGCCUUACACAUGCAAGUCGAACGGCAGCACGGGAGCAAUCCUGGUGGCGAGUGGCGAACGGGUGAGUAAUAUAUCGGAACGUGCCCAGUCGUGGGGGAUAACGCAGCGAAAGCUGUGCUAAUACCGCAUACGAUCUACGGAUGAAAGCGGGGGAUCGCAAGACCUCGCGCGAUUGGAGCGGCCGAUAUCAGAUUAGCUAGUUGGUGAGGUAAAGGCUCACCAAGGCGACGAUCUGUAGCUGGUCUGAGAGGACGACCAGCCACACUGGAACUGAGACACGGUCCAGACUCCUACGGGAGGCAGCAGUGGGGAAUUUUGGACAAUGGGCGCAAGCCUGAUCCAGCAAUGCCGCGUGCAGGAUGAAGGCCUUCGGGUUGUAAACUGCUUUUGUACGGAGCGAAACGGUCUUUCCCAAUACGAGAGGCUAAUGACGGUACCGUAAGAAUAAGCACCGGCUAACUACGUGCCAGCCGCCGCGGUAA
rnacentral:rRNA from 1 species